rnacentral:ncRNA from 10 species
UCGAGGAGCUCACAGUCUAGUA